UUAAGCGACUAAGCGUACACGGUGGAUGCCCUGGCAGUCAGAGGCGAUGAAGGACGUGCUAAUCUGCGAUAAGCGUCGGUAAGGUGAUAUGAACCGUUAUAACCGGCGAUUUCCGAAUGGGGAAACCCAGUGUGUUUCGACACACUAUCAUUAACUGAAUCUAUAGGUUAAUGAGGCGAACCGGGGGAACUGAAACAUCUAAGUACCCCGAGGAAAAGAAAUCAACCGAGAUUCCCCCAGUAGCGGCGAGCGAACGGGGAGCAGCCCAGAGCCUGAAUCAGUGUGUGUGUUAGUGGAAGCGUCUGGAAAGGCGCGCGAUACAGGGUGACAGCCCCGUACACAAAAAUGCACAUGCUGUGAGCUCGAUGAGUAGGGCGGGACACGUGGUAUCCUGUCUGAAUAUGGGGGGACCAUCCUCCAAGGCUAAAUACUCCUGACUGACCGAUAGUGAACCAGUACCGUGAGGGAAAGGCGAAAAGAACCCCGGCGAGGGGAGUGAAAAAGAACCUGAAACCGUGUACGUACAAGCAGUGGGAGCACGCUUAGGCGUGUGACUGCGUACCUUUUGUAUAAUGGGUCAGCGACUUAUAUUCUGUAGCAAGGUUAACCGAAUAGGGGAGCCGAAGGGAAACCGAGUCUUAACUGGGCGUUAAGUUGCAGGGUAUAGACCCGAAACCCGGUGAUCUAGCCAUGGGCAGGUUGAAGGUUGGGUAACACUAACUGGAGGACCGAACCGACUAAUGUUGAAAAAUUAGCGGAUGACUUGUGGCUGGGGGUGAAAGGCCAAUCAAACCGGGAGAUAGCUGGUUCUCCCCGAAAGCUAUUUAGGUAGCGCCUCGUGAAUUCAUCUCCGGGGGUAGAGCACUGUUUCGGCAAGGGGGUCAUCCCGACUUACCAACCCGAUGCAAACUGCGAAUACCGGAGAAUGUUAUCACGGGAGACACACGGCGGGUGCUAACGUCCGUCGUGAAGAGGGAAACAACCCAGACCGCCAGCUAAGGUCCCAAAGUCAUGGUUAAGUGGGAAACGAUGUGGGAAGGCCCAGACAGCCAGGAUGUUGGCUUAGAAGCAGCCAUCAUUUAAAGAAAGCGUAAUAGCUCACUGGUCGAGUCGGCCUGCGCGGAAGAUGUAACGGGGCUAAACCAUGCACCGAAGCUGCGGCAGCGACGCUGAUGCGUUGUUGGGUAGGGGAGCGUUCUGUAAGCCUGUGAAGGUGUGCUGUGAGGCAUGCUGGAGGUAUCAGAAGUGCGAAUGCUGACAUAAGUAACGAUAAAGCGGGUGAAAAGCCCGCUCGCCGGAAGACCAAGGGUUCCUGUCCAACGUUAAUCGGGGCAGGGUGAGUCGACCCCUAAGGCGAGGCCGAAAGGCGUAGUCGAUGGGAAACAGGUUAAUAUUCCUGUACUUGGUGUUACUGCGAAGGGGGGACGGAGAAGGCUAUGUUGGCCGGGCGACGGUUGUCCCGGUUUAAGCGUGUAGGCUGGUUUUCCAGGCAAAUCCGGAAAAUCAAGGCUGAGGCGUGAUGACGAGGCACUACGGUGCUGAAGCAACAAAUGCCCUGCUUCCAGGAAAAGCCUCUAAGCAUCAGGUAACAUCAAAUCGUACCCCAAACCGACACAGGUGGUCAGGUAGAGAAUACCAAGGCGCUUGAGAGAACUCGGGUGAAGGAACUAGGCAAAAUGGUGCCGUAACUUCGGGAGAAGGCACGCUGAUAUGUAGGUGAAGUCCCUCGCGGAUGGAGCUGAAAUCAGUCGAAGAUACCAGCUGGCUGCAACUGUUUAUUAAAAACACAGCACUGUGCAAACACGAAAGUGGACGUAUACGGUGUGACGCCUGCCCGGUGCCGGAAGGUUAAUUGAUGGGGUCAGCGCAAGCGAAGCUCUUGAUCGAAGCCCCGGUAAACGGCGGCCGUAACUAUAACGGUCCUAAGGUAGCGAAAUUCCUUGUCGGGUAAGUUCCGACCUGCACGAAUGGCGUAAUGAUGGCCAGGCUGUCUCCACCCGAGACUCAGUGAAAUUGAACUCGCUGUGAAGAUGCAGUGUACCCGCGGCAAGACGGAAAGACCCCGUGAACCUUUACUAUAGCUUGACACUGAACAUUGAGCCUUGAUGUGUAGGAUAGGUGGGAGGCUUUGAAGUGUGGACGCCAGUCUGCAUGGAGCCGACCUUGAAAUACCACCCUUUAAUGUUUGAUGUUCUAACGUUGACCCGUAAUCCGGGUUGCGGACAGUGUCUGGUGGGUAGUUUGACUGGGGCGGUCUCCUCCUAAAGAGUAACGGAGGAGCACGAAGGUUGGCUAAUCCUGGUCGGACAUCAGGAGGUUAGUGCAAUGGCAUAAGCCAGCUUGACUGCGAGCGUGACGGCGCGAGCAGGUGCGAAAGCAGGUCAUAGUGAUCCGGUGGUUCUGAAUGGAAGGGCCAUCGCUCAACGGAUAAAAGGUACUCCGGGGAUAACAGGCUGAUACCGCCCAAGAGUUCAUAUCGACGGCGGUGUUUGGCACCUCGAUGUCGGCUCAUCACAUCCUGGGGCUGAAGUAGGUCCCAAGGGUAUGGCUGUUCGCCAUUUAAAGUGGUACGCGAGCUGGGUUUAGAACGUCGUGAGACAGUUCGGUCCCUAUCUGCCGUGGGCGCUGGAGAACUGAGGGGGGCUGCUCCUAGUACGAGAGGACCGGAGUGGACGCAUCACUGGUGUUCGGGUUGUCAUGCCAAUGGCACUGCCCGGUAGCUAAAUGCGGAAGAGAUAAGUGCUGAAAGCAUCUAAGCACGAAACUUGCCCCGAGAUGAGUUCUCCCUGACCCUUUAAGGGUCCUGAAGGAACGUUGAAGACGACGACGUUGAUAGGCCGGGUGUGUAAGCGCAGCGAUGCGUUGAGCUAACCGGUACUAAUGAACCGUGAGGCUUAACCU
rnacentral:rRNA from 1 species